UACGUAGGGUGCAGGCGUUAAUCGGAAUUACUGGGCGUAAAGCGUGCGCAGGCGGUUCUAUAAGACAGAUGUGAAAUCCCCGGGCUCAACCUGGGAACUGCAUUUGUGACUGUAGAGCUGGAGUACGGUAGAGGGGGAUGGAAUUCCGCGUGUAGCAGUGAAAUGCGUAGAUAUGCGGAGGAACACCGAUGGCGAAGGCAAUCCCCUGGACCUGUACUGACGCUCAUGCACGAAAGCGUGGGGAGCAAACAGG
rnacentral:rRNA from 1 species